UGCUCUCGUUUCACCCUGCCGACUUUUACGAUGCGCUGUCUGCGGAACUCGCUCUGAACACGGCGUCAAAUUCUGAAAUGUGGUUUGCCAAGAAGCCCAUCCGUUGACGAAACCUAACGUAUCGACGACGAGUUCAAACUACGACUUUUUCUCCAGGUGUUUUGCGGAAAAUCGUGAGUUGAACCGUGAAGCCUCGUUUACUUAAAAGAGAUCAGUGAUAUCUCUCGUCAUCAUGGUUACUGCAUCUCCUUUUAACUUUACAGAGGUCGCACCAACACCCAUGACUCCAGCCCAGCCUAGCGCCGCUGUCAUAGGAGUGGUGAUUUUGCUGUUCUUGUGUACAAUGGCGGCCCUGGCAUUCGUGAUGUACCGCUACCUGUGUCACAACAAGGGCACCUACCGAACAACAGGAGAGCCUGCACCGGGCCUAGACCCAGAUCAGGUCUACAAUGACACCGUCACUCAAAACAAGAAGGAGUACUUCAUUUGAAGUGCUGCGUGCUGAACUGCACCGACGAUCUUGAACGAGGGCAUGCUGGAUGUGUGUGGAUGUUUGAAGAUGAUGCUUUGAGAGGAGACUUGGCAUUUUUGCUGUGGAAACCCCACAGUGGGGACUUUGAGGCACAGACAUCUCAUGUUGGAUGGGUGAUGCAGCUUGUUUUGUGUGGUGGUAGUGCAUACUCGUGUCUCCUAGAGUUAGCCAACUGAUGCCCUGAAACUUGCUGUUACCCUGUUUUAUUUUUAUUUACUAAAUUUAUUAUAUUUGUCCCGGAAAGCUUUUAAGCGCACAUUCUCAGUAUUUGACAAUCCCCCUGGGGGUCAACAGGUGGUUUGUAAGCUCUAAUCCACUUGCUCCCCAAUGUUUAGUACACUAGUUAGUUGACUGACUUUAGCAUGUGGUGUACUUGGCAUAAGUUGUUACCAUAAUGUCUUUCAUGAACAUGUUUCUAGCUUCUGACAGGUGUGUGUGUGUGUGUGUGUGUGUGUGUGUGUGUGUGUGUGUGUGUGUGUGUAAAUCUGGCUAAAAUUUACAGUGGGUUCAUAGUUUAGGGAUGCCUUCCUUUUGUAAUAAAGAGACUGUUUAGUGUACAGCACUGAAUGUGCUGUCAGGUAUGUUUGUUUAGUGGUUCAGUGCUGGUGACGGAGCACAAGUUGAAUUUGUUUAAUAGCUCAUAGCUUUUCUGAUUAUUUUCAACUUAUAAAAGCUUUAAUUUAUCAUUACAUGCUUUAUGCCAAGUCCUGCGGUUUGUUUUCCUGCUGUAGUGCUGUGUCCCUCCGAGUUUCUGUAACAUUGCACAUGUUCUGAGGUGCUUAUUUAUACAUGUAGAAAAGGUUUGCCAAGUCUGACACUACUGUCACCUAGUUGCCCCUAGUACAAGAGUGCUGCCAAACAUGCAUCGCAACCAGCAACGGAGUGCUCAAAGAAUGCCAGUCUCUUGGGUACGACUAAGGUAGCCUCGUCCAAUAACGUGGGUGUUGUGUUCAUAACAGCCCACCAAGACGGAAUACAUUGUUUCGGAUUAUGCUGUUGAAACAAGAACACAGGAAGCCGUGUGCUUUUGGCACCAUUUGUAAGUGUUUAACUGUGUUGUUUCCCAGAUCCAGUCACUAUCACAAAAACCACAUGCUCCAAGUAUGCAUUUGCAAGUUUACAUUUAUGGUAUUUUUAAUUUUAAGUUUUAAGUAUUCUAAUCAAACCCUUACCUGGAAAUUUGAAUUAUUAAUUUUGUCUGAAGUAAGUAGUAGCUUUUUUUUUAAAAACAUUUUUUUAAGCAUUUUAUGAAGUUCCUUUUAAAAACUGACCACCUUUUUAUGUUUUUGUUUUUAUCCAUUUUUGCAUACCAGUGCUUGAGUAUAACUCUGAAGGACAUAUAACUCAACUGUAUUAUAAUCAAAUGAUUGUGCCAAGUUGCUUCCGGAAGUAUGAAAAUAAGGCUAUGCUAUCAGUGUGUCACAUAAACAAGCUGCUGUGUCAUUUUUGUUGGGCAUAAUGAAGUUUUCACUGUUACAUAAGCUCGAAUUAAUUUGAUGAACUUGA